rnacentral:tRNA from 1 species
UGGUCGGAAUAGCAAGAUUUGAACUUGCGGCCCCCUGCUCCCAAGGCAGGUGCGCUACCGGGCUGCGCUAUAUUCCG